rnacentral:lncRNA from 1 species
GGUUAUGGUUAGCGUUAGGAUUAAUGUUAGGAUUUGGUUAGGGUUAGGGUUAGGGUUAGGGUUAGUGUUAGGGUUAGGAUUAGGGUUAGGGUUCGGGGUUAGGGUUAGGCUUAGGGUUAGGGUUAGGGCUAGGAUUAGGGUUAGGGUUAGGGUUAUUGCCAGGGUUAGGGUUAGGGUUAGAUUUAUUUUAAGGGUUAGUGUUUGAUUAAGUUUAGGGUUAGUGUUUUUGUUAGGGGUAGGAUUAGGUUAGGAUUAGAGUAGUGUUAGGGUUAGGGUUUGAGUUAGGGUUAGGGUUAGGUUAGGGUUCGGGUUAGGGUUCUGAUUAAGUAUAGGGUUAGGCUAGAGUUAGAGCUUGGGCUUGGGAUAGGGUUAGGGUUACGUUUAGUGUUAGGGAAGAAUUAGGGUCAGGGUUAGGGUUAGGGUUAGGGUUUGGGUUUAGGGUUCUGUUUAAGUAUAGGGUUAGGGUAAGUAUAGGUUUAGGCUAGGGUUAGGGCUUGGGUUUGUGUUAGGGGUAGGGUUAGUUUUAGGGUUAUGUUUAGUGUUAGGGAAGAAUUAGGGUCAGGGUUAGGGUUAGGGUUAGGGUUAGGGUUAGGGUUAGGGUUAGGGUUAAGGUAGGGUUAAGGUUAUGGUUAAGGUAGGGUUAAGGUUAUGGUUAGGGUUAGGGUAGGGUUAGGGUUUGGGGUUAGGGUUGGGGUUUAUGCUUAGGGUUAGGUUUUGGGUUAGGUUUAGGGUUAGGGUUAGGGUAAGGAUUUGGGUUAGGGGAAAGGUUAGGGUUAGGGUUAGGGUUUGGGUAAGGAUUAGGUUUAGGGCUUGGGUUGGGGUAGGUUUAGCGUUAGGGUUAUGGUUAGGGUUAAGGUUAGGGUUAGUGUAAGGUUUCAGUUUAGGGUUAGGGUUAGUGUAAGUGUUAGGGUUAGGUUUAGGGAUAGGGUUAGGGUUAUGGUAGGGUAAGGGUUAGUGUAAGGGUUAGGGUUAGAUUUAGGGUUAGGAUUAGGGUUAGGGUUAGGUUUAGGGAUAGGGAUAGGGAUAGGUUUAGUGUUAGGGUAAGGUUAGUGUUAGGGUAAGGUUUAUUUUUAGUGUAAGGUUUUGGGAUAGGUUUAGUGUAGGGUUAGGCUAAGGGUAGGGUUAGGGAUAGGGUUAGCCUUUUGGUUAUGGUUAGGUUUAGGGUAAAUGUUUGGGUUAGGAUUAGGGUCAGGGUUAGGGUUCUGUUUUGGGUUAGUCUUAGGGUAAGUGUUAGGGUUAGGUUUAUGGAUAGGGCUAGGGUCAGGUUUUGAGUUCGAUUUAGGGUUCGGUCUAGGGUUAGUGUUAGGGUUAGGGUUUAG